CAAAAGUCAACUAGGAACCCUAAGGACCAAGAUUCAAGACCCACAGCAUCAUGACACAGAGGCAUCAUAAGUCUUCCUGGGAAGGAGUAGGCGAUACCAGAAAAACAAUUUAGAUCCACCCAGACAAAAUGGGUUGUGUAUCCACUACAAUCAGAGACUGAAUGUGUAAUGAAGUGUACGCUUGAGAAGGCCUACAGACCUACACUGAGCCCAGGAACCUAGGUUAAAAUCUGUAGAGAGCAGUCACAUCUGCUAAAUAAAAGCAUGCAAAACCACAAACAAAUAAUGAAAUGACACAGACAAGAGGCUACGGAAAGGAAAUACUGGCUUGCUCUUUAAAAGGCUGUGGAGCUUGUGAGGUGCGGAAGCUGACUGUGAUAAAACCAGCACCAAAGGGUGGACUAGGUCCAGAGGCCCUCUGCUGGAGGCCUUGCAGCCCUGCUUCACCCCGCCCCAGAAAAGAACAGGGGAGAAGUCCUACAGGCAGCCUACAGGGGCUGCUGGAGCAACCAGUCAGGGGCCAGAAGGGGCCUAUAAAAAGAAGCAGCAGAGGCAGAGCAGUCAGUUACUGCCUGGAGCUUGAAGAGGGUGGACCGGGUGCCUGGCUGGUUGGAAGAGCAGCAGGCCUGCAGACAGUUUACUACAGGCAGGACUGAGCAAAGGGAAGGCUGCCAAAGACCAGGUGUCUGGCUGGCUGGAAGAUUAGCAGGACCUGGACAGGUCAAUGCAGAAAGGCUGAGCCCAGGGGACUGAGCCAAGAACCCAGCCAGACCAGAGAGUACUGUGAUGGACUCUGGUUGAAGACUGAGCCCAAGAAAGGCUGCUGAAAAGACACUAACUGAGGGUACCGAGAUGGGCCCCUGUUGGGCUGUUAAAGAAGGCAGUGCCUCUGGGAAGGAAGCCUUCGUGCUACAGCCCCAUACCAGGACUGAGAGAAAGAACUAGAGAGUGUAUACCUCAGAAGGGGAGAUAGUGUGACUCCACCAGAGGGCUGAGUCACCGAAGACCCACCAAACAGCCGUUGGCCAUGGGGGUGCGCAUGAGACGCAGGUGCCACCCUAUUGUAAGAACUCAAAGAAAAGCAGGCUUACACCCAACCAGAAGGAGGGUGUUCAUGAAAGGUGCCACUCCAUUUCAAAACUAAGUGACUGCAGGCACUUUUCAGCCAUAAGGGGAUGCUCACGGGAUAUGGUUGUC